rnacentral:lncRNA from 1 species
UUUUUUUUUUUUUUUUUUGGUAGAAGCCGGCACGUUCAUUCUAAAAUUCAAAAGCAAUAAAAGGACUAGAAUGCCAAAAAACUUUGAAAAAGAACAAAAUCUGAGUAUUUACAGUACCCGAUUUCUAGACUUAUUUCAAAGCUUCAGUAAUUGUGCCAACAUUGAGAGACACAAACAGAUCAAUGGAACAGAAUACAGAGCCCAGCACAACCACAUACAAAUGGUCAAUUGGUUUUUGACAAAGAUGUGAUGGCAAGCCAAUGGAGAAAAAGGACAGUCUUCUCAUUAAAUGGAGCUGGGACAACUGGCUAUCCUAAUAUUUAAAAAAAAAAGAACUUUAAUUCACAUCUUGCUCUCAUAAAAAUAAACUCAAAAUGGAUCAUGGACCUAAGUAUAACAGGAAUACAUAUGUUUUCAUUUACAAGAUGUAUGACUAUGUAUCUUAUAAAUGAAAACAUGGGAGAAAGUCUUUGUGAUCCUGGCUUAACAAAGAUUUCUUAGCUACAGCAACCAAGACAUGAUCCAUUAACACUGAUAAAUUAGACUUCAUAGAACUCUCCACUUUGGAAAACAUUAAGAGAAUGAGAAGACAAGCCCCAGAAUGGGAGAAAAUAUUUGCACAUAUCUGAUAAAGACUUUUCUCUAGAAUAUAUAAAGAACUGUCAAAAUUCAACAUUAAGGAAACACACAACACAAUUCAGAAUUGAGCGAACUAUGGGAACUUACAGUUCACCAAAGAUGUACAAACAGCAAAUAAAUAUUUGAAAAGAUGCUCAAAACUAUUAGGAAAUAAAAAAUUAAUACCACAAAGAAAUAUCAUUGUACAGUAAUGAGAGUGUCUAAAAUAUAAAAACUGACCAAGUGAUGACAAGGAUGGGUACCACUUGAACUCUCCUAUUACUGGUGGGAAUGUAAAAUGGUAAACAAACAAACAACAAAAAACUUUGGAAAACAAUUGGAAAGUUUAAAAGUUAACAUGCAUCUACUAAACGAUGCAGGAAUUGGCCCAAGAGAAGUUAUUAUGUUCACUCAAGAACAUUCACAUGAACAUUCAAAGCAACUUUAUUUGUAGGAGACAAGUCUGAAACAACCCCAAAUGCCCAUUAACACUUGGAUGCUAUGGAAUGGGAGAAAACAGUUGCAAAUGAUGCAACUGACAAGGGCAUCACUGUCAGUUGAUGAUGCCCUAAAUAUAUACAAAUAUACAAACAACAUAUCUCUAAAAUAUACAAACAACUUAUAUAAUUCAACAGCAAAAAAGCCAACAACCCAUUGAAAAAUGGGCAAAAGACCUGAGUAGACAUUUCUCCAAGGGAGAUAUACAAAUGGCCAACAAGCACAUGAAAAAAUGCUCAACAUCACUGAUUAUUAGAGAAAUGCAAAUCUAAACUACCACGAGAUACCACCUCGCACCAGUCAGAAUGGCCAUCAUUAAGAAGUCCACAAAUAACAAAUGCUAGAGGGGGUGUGGAGAAAAGGGAACCCUCUUGCACUGUUGGUGGGAAUGUAAGCUGGUACAACCACUAUGGAGAACAGUAUGGAGGUACCUUAGAAAUCUAUACAUAGAACUACCAAAUGACCCAGCAAUCCUACUCUUGGGCAUAUAUCUGGACAAAACUUUCCUUAAAAAAGACACAUGCACCCCCAUGUUCAUUGCAGCACUACUCACAAUGGCCAAGACAUGGAAACAACCCAAAUGUCCAUCGAUAGAUGAUUGGAUUAGGAAGAUGUGGUAUGUAUGCACAAUGGAAUACUACUCAGCCAUAAAAAAGAACAAAUGAAUGCCAUUUGCAGCAACUUGGAUGGAACUAGAGACUCUCAUCCUGAGUGAAGGAAGUCAGAAAGAGAAAGAUAAGGAGUUCCCCAUCGUGGCACAGUGGUUAAUGAAUCUGACUAGGAACCAUGAGGUUUCAGGUUCGAUUCCUGGCCUUGCUCAGUGGGUUAAGGAUCUGGUGUUGCCAUGAGCUGUGGUAUAGGUCACAGACGCAGCUCGGAUCCCACGUUGCUGUCAUUGUGGUGUAGGCUGGCAGCUCUGUAGGUCUGAUUAGACCCCUAGCCUGGUAAGCUCCAUAUGCUGCAGGAGCAGCCCUAGAAAGGCAAAAAAAAAAAAAAAAGAAAGAAAGAGAGAGAAAGACAAAUACCAUAUGAUAGCACUUAUAUCUGGAAUCUAAUAUACAACACAAAUGAACCUUUCCACAGAAAAGAAAAUCAUGGACUUGGAGAACAGGCUUGUAGUUGUCAAGGAGAAGAGGGAGGGAGUGGGAUGGAUGGGGAGCUUGGGGUUAAUAGAUGCAGACUAUUGCCUUUGGAAUGGAUUAGCAAUGAGAUCCUGCUGUGUAGCACUGGGAACUCUGUCUAGUCACUUAUGACGGAGCAUGAUAAUGUGAGAAAAAAGAAUGUAUACAUGUAUGUGUAACUGGGUCACCAUGCUGUACAGUAGAAAAAAAAAUAAUGUAUUGAGGAAAUUAAAAAAAAGUGAAAAGAAAUUUGGAUGCUAUGAAUAAAGAAGCAAAUAGUGGUAGGGUUGUAUGAUACAAUGAAGUGAACUACUAAAAUCCACCGAGGUAUAUAUUUUAUUUAUUUAGUUUUUGGCUGCACCUGCAGAAUGUGGAAGCUCCCAGACCAGGGAUCAAACCUGUGCCACGACAACACUGAAUCCUUAACCGGCUGCGCCACAAGGGAACUCUGAGUUGUAC